rnacentral:rRNA from 1 species
GCGGAUCUCUUAAAGCCGUUCUCAGUUCGGACUGUAGGCUGCAACUCGCCUACACGAAGCUGGAAUCGCUAGUAAUCGCGGAUCAGCACGCCGCGGUGAAUACGUUCCCGGGCCUUGUACACACCGCCCGUCACACCAUGAGAGUCUGUAACACCCAAAGCCGGUGGGAUAACCUUUAUAGGAGUCAGCCGUCUAAGGUAGGACAGAUGAUUAGGGUGAAGUCGUAACAAGGUAUC